rnacentral:lncRNA from 1 species
CUCAGUAUAAUAUUAGUUUCAAAUGUCUUGCUUUAUUUCCCAAUUCUUUGACCAUCAGGCACCCAUACCAGGCUAAUAUGAAAAUCCUCAAGUGAGAAUAUAUGAUUAUUCAGACUACAUGAGUCCCUGACCUGCCUGCUUAGAAAGAGUUUACAGGAAGCAACAACUCAUUGUGGACAUGACAUCGCUUUCAAGAUCCCUGUGAACAGAAGCAGACAUCUAUUUGUCUGGGUACUUUUGAUGCAGCCCAGCCCAGAAGCAAGGAGAUGAAGUGCAUUGACCUCUUGUGGUUCCUUCCCGCAUGAUGAUUCUAUAACCCCCUACAUUUGGUCAUCCAUCCCAAUAAAGCUUCAUUAUUGGAACCCAUGGUUUCUUCACAACUGACAAGAAUAAAGUACAAGAAUAGUACAGGAGACUUUGUGACUGAAGAAUUAUUUUGGAAACCCAACUUGGAAAAAGAGGUCUUCAGCCAAGGCAGACUUAGUAAUAAGAGGUUCAUGCUGAGAAAUUAAGUCUACCAAGGCAGUGCAGAGGAGGUGAUGUCUAAGCUGGAAUUCGAAGGAUGAAUGAGAUUUUUCAGACAGAGAAGACAGAGGGGGAUGGAGAGUAAGACAUCCCAAGAAGAGAGAAUGACAUGUGCAAGGCUAAGAUGUGUGUGAGCACUUGGUGUACUCAUGUCACCAUAUCAUGCUGUUGAUGUGAAGAAGAAGGGGAUGUGGGAGCCUUAAAAAUAGGAGUGGAGGCCAGCCCCGGUUGCCUAGUGGUUAAGUUCAGUGUGUGCUGCUUCAGUGGACUGGGUUUGGUUCCCAGGAACAGACCUGCACCACUUGUCAGCGGCCGUGCUGUGGCGGCGGCUCACAUACAAAAAAGAGGAAGAUUGACAAACAGAUGUUACCUCUGGGCAAAUCUUCCUCAGGAAAAAAAAAUAGGAGUGGUCCCCCAAAUGUGAAGUACUGCAGAAAAGCUGACAUAAGACAAGCACAGAAUAUUCCUCAGAGCCUCUGGUGAUGUGGAAGUCAUCAGCAACCUUGGUCUGAAUGGUGUCAGCAGCCAGGACCAGGUUGUUAUGAGUUUAGUAAAUGGGAUGUUGAG